rfam:Picea glauca, whole genome shotgun sequence.
AUGUACAUGCCUACAACAUAGCUUUAAUGCAUCAUAUCCAAUUAGAACUAUGCAGUUAAGCGUGCUCAGUCUAGAGUAGUACUGGGAUGGGUGACCACCCAUGAAUUCCUAGUGUUGUACAUU